GGGCACUGGAUAGUAGGUGGGGUACUGAGUUGGUACUGGAUAGUAGGCGGGGUACUGAGUUGGUACUGGAUAGUAGGCGGGGUACUGAGUUGGUACUGGAUAGUAGGUGGGGUACUGAGUUGGUACUGGAUAGUAGGCGGGGUACUGAGUUGGUACUGGAUAGUAGGCGGGGUACUGAGUUGGUACUGGAUAGUAGGCGGGGUACUGAGUUGGUACUGGAUAGUAGGUGGGGUACUGAGUUGGUACUGGAUAGUAGGUGGGGUACUGAGUUGGUACUGGAUAGUAGGCGGGGUACUGAGUUGGUACUGGAUAGUAGGUGGGGUACUGGAGAGUAGGUGGGGUACUUAGUUGGUACUGGAUAGUAGGUGGGGUACUGAGUUGGUACUGGGUAGUAGGUGGGGUACUGAGUUGGUACUGGAUAGUAGGUGGGGUACUGGGUAGUAGGUGGGGUACUGAGUUGGUACUGGGUAGUAGGUGGGGUCCUGAGUUGGUACUGGAUAGUAGGUGGGGUACUGAGUUGGUACUGGACAGUAGGUGGGGUACUGGAUAGUAGGUGAGGUACUGAGUUGGUACUGGGUAGUAGGUGGGGUACUGAGUUGGUACUGAGUAGUAGGUGGGGUACUGAGUUGGUACUGGGUAGUAGGUGGGGUACUGAGUUGGUACUGGGUAGUUGGUACUGGGUGGAGUGUAGAAGGUGGCUGGAGUUGGUUUGGUUAGUCUGCUUCAUUCUUUGACGCCUCAUCAAAG
ensembl:lncRNA